UACGUAGGGUGCAAGCGUGUCCGGAUUUAUUGGGCGUAAAGAGCUCGUAGGCGGUCUGUCGCGUCGGAUGUGAAAACCCAGGGCUCAACCCUGGGCCUGCAUUCGAUACGGGCAGACUAGAGUGUGGCAGGGGAGACUGGAAUUCCUGGUGUAGCGGUGAAAUGCGCAGAUAUCAGGAGGAACACCGGUGGCGAAGGCGGGUCUCUGGGGCCAAUACUGACGUGAGGAGCGAAAGCGUGGGGAGC
rnacentral:rRNA from 1 species